GUGCGGAGGGCGGGAACAGCCCGCCGGGAAGGGCGAGAGGUGUCUCCGGGACAGUUACUUCUCUUCAAGGAGCCCUCAGGACUUGCUGAUUUUUUCCCAGAAGUGGGGCGUUGCGUUGGGAAGGGAGACCCGGCAGCCUCAAGAUUUGGAGGCAGAGCGGCUUGCAGCUGUGGCUCAUUGGCAGCGGGCAGAGCUCACAUCAAUGAUUUGAGCAUUGGAAUACCUUCCCUGCAUGCCCUUCUAUUGCAAAGCCAGGUGCAAGGGCAAGCAGUGGAGAGGCAGGCGUGUGGCCAAUGGACAGAGACAGGACUGCACCUUCCUGCCGUAAGGAUUCAAAUCUAAAAUGAGACUGAAUCUACGUGUCCAACUGAUGAACCAAAGAAUCUGAGCAUGGUGCCAGUGGGGCCUCCAUGGAAGGGAGCGAUUGCAAGCAGUUAUUUGACUAGUGCAGCCAAAGCCUGUGUAUAAUUGAGCAAGAAAGGGUGCCACAAUCCAACAUUAUUCUUAUCCUGCUCCCUUCAAUUUAAUUCCAUAAUCAGCACUUGCAUCACUGAGAAGUUGGAAAUAUUACCCAGGCCUCUCCUUCAGCAUGAUGGUAUCCUGAACAGGUCCCUGCCUGUAAGGAUCUGCUUUCUUCAAAACAAACUUUCACUCUGCCCCGUGGUUAGCUUGGCUUAAGUCAGCAAACUGCCAGCAAAAUUCUAGAAUUUAGAAAUAGCUUAAGCUCAGCCCAUUUCAGCCUUCAAAUCAGUUGGUUUAGUUAUGUGCGAUUCCUUAAAGUACUAUCAUUCAGCAUCCAGCUGGCAUCCAUUUGACUACAGUUGCUGCUGGGCGGGGGCGGGAACCACCCACCCUCCCUCAUUGCUGAGCCUAAUCCCGUAAAUUCAGCAAGAACUAUUGCACGCCAUCUCGUGGCCCUGCACAGCUAUUUCCAGGGAACAAAUGCAGCUCCGAUUGCGACUGGGUUUGUUGGACAGGAUUGAUUUGAAAGAUGGCUGUCAGGGGCUGAGAAACAGCCCCCUAUAUAACCCCAUGAAAGCUCUGAAACAUUCAACAUUAACGCUUCGUCCACACUCCUACCUUGACCCUGCAGCCUGAGCAGCUGUUUCCAGGAGUGGCAGCAGAGCCUCGAGCUGCAAAAUGCACCUCUUCAGCACGUGCUCACGGAGUUUCUCAAGCAGAGCUGUAGGGACGGCCCUGCACUCACAACCACUGAACACCACCACUGCCCCAGAGCAGCCUUGGGCAGAGCAGGAAACUACCUUACUUAUUUUACAGUAUGUCACACACAUGUUAAUGGUUCUUAAUUAUAUGCAAGGCUGGAGAUGUUCAUGGUACAUCUGUCUUCUUGUCUGCUGUCAGUACUUGUUAAAGAACUCCAUGUGUCAAUGUUUUAAAUAAAGCUAAUAUGCCUAUUCAUAACUGUUCAUUAACACCUGAAUAUAUGAAAUUGAAACAAGGUUACAUUGGCUGUCAGUCCCCUGGUGUAUCUGAAGUCCUGAUCCUCCCCUUACUCUCUUUCCUGGGGGAAAAAGUCGUCAUUAAGAGACCCUUGCCAGAAGUGAUUAAGGUACGAUUUCAUUAAAUCUAGUUGAAGGAGUUAAAAAACAGGGACAGAAUGCAAUAAUAUGACUUCAAGGUCCUUGCUUCUAUUUUAAGUGGGAAGUUGUUGACUUCCCAAUGUUUCUGACUUUUUGGUGGGGAGAUUACAGCUUAAAAUCUGCACCACUGAAUCAUCUCCAAAUGUGAAGUCAUGUUAACUUGAGCAGAAUUACUCACGUGCCUUACUUCCACUGCUCUCAAACCUAUGAAAAGGCUGGAUCUAUAGUCAGCAGCAAAAGACCUUACAAUGGGUAACAGAAGUGCAUGACUUCAGACUAAGCAUCUUUCUUUAUCUGCUAAACACAACACCACAACACCUUCAAAAGUUUGCAGCUUGCUGUUGGAAAGCAUAGCAACAUGCCAACUACAGAUGUUACUCCAAAGGACACUGUGCCAUACAGUAAGAAUAAAAAAAAAAACUACUCAAGGAUUUUAGUUCAAGGCAUCUGAUUAUGAUCAGCAGUUGCUCUAGAUUUGGUAUGUGACAAAACUUCUAUUUCUACUGUUCUUGGGUUAGAAAACAAUACUGAUGAGGAGACUGGCUGUGGAAGUAAGGAAGUUACAGGAAAGACCGUUUAACCUGUGAGACUUUAUGAAGCUCAAUACUAACAUCCUUUCUCUGUAUACAGCAAAGAAAAGAGGGAACAUCCUUCUUCUCAUGCCAAGGUUUAAUUCUGAGGUAUGUGACACUGGAUUUACAAAGGUAAACCAAAAGUACAUUCUGAGAAACAGUGAGCCCCCUACUUAACAAGGCAGAGGGAUUUCACACUCCAAGCAGCUGAGAAAAGAAACUGCUCACUGUGUGGAAAAAAACAAAAACCCA